AUGCAAGUCGAACGCUUUUUUCAAUCAUCGUAGCUUGCUACACCGAUUGAAAAUUGAGUGGCGAACGGGUGAGUAACACGUGGGUAACCUGCCCAAAAGAGGGGGAUAACACUUGGAAACAGGUGCUAAUACCGCAUAACCAUGAUGACCGCAUGGUCAUUAUGUAAAAGAUGGUUUCGGCUAUCACUUUUGGAUGGACCCGCGGCGUAUUAACUUGUUGGUGGGGUAACGGCCUACCAAGGUAAUGAUACGUAGCCGAACUGAGAGGUUGAUCGGCCACAUUGGGACUGAGACACGGCCCAAACUCCUACGGGAGGCAGCAGUAGGGAAUCUUCCACAAUGGGCGCAAGCCUGAUGGAGCAACGCCGCGUGAGUGAAGAAGGUCUUCGGAUCGUAAAACUCUGUUGUUAGAGAAGAACAUGCAGGAGAGUAACUGUUCUUGUAUUGACGGUAUCUAACCAGAAAGCCACGGCUAACUACGUGCCAGCAGCCGCGGUAAUACGUAGGUGGCAAGCGUUGUCCGGAUUUAUUGGGCGUAAAGGGAACGCAGGCGGUCCUUUAAGUCUGAUGUGAAAGCCUUCGGCUUAACCGAAGAAUUGCAUUGGAAACUGGAGGACUUGAGUGCAGAAGAGGAGAGUGGAACUCCAUGUGUAGCGGUGAAAUGCGUAGAUAUAUGGAAGAACACCAGUGGCGAAAGCGGCUCUCUGGUCUGUAACUGACGCUGAGGUUCGAAAGUGUGGGUAGCAAACAGGAUUAGAUACCCUGGUAGUCCACACCGUAAACGAUGAAUGCUAAGUGUUGGAGGGUUUCCGCCCUUCAGUGCUGCAGCUAACGCAAUAAGCAUUCCGCCUGGGGAGUACGACCGCAAGGUUGAAACUCAAAGGAAUUGACGGGGGCCCGCACAAGCGGUGGAGCAUGUGGUUUAAUUCGAAGCAACGCGAAGAACCUUACCAGGUCUUGACAUCUUUUGACCAUCUUA
rnacentral:rRNA from 1 species